AUUAGUGUCAUUGCCAUUUAACUUGGAUAGAACAAAACUCUAGCGUGUCGCACAAGCAUUAGACAUUUGCAGCAAUUAACUUGUGGUAGCAGCAUCAGAAUUUAGCAUUAGCUUUAAGAUGAAACUGUUUGUGUGGACGUUUCUCUUGUGCCUGCUCGGCCAGAGCGUAAAUGGACUAUUCUUUGAAGAGCUGACGCAAUUCUUUGGAGGCGGAGGCAGCACAAAGCUUGUCAAUUCAACUACAACCAGGAAGCCAGCAGUUAGCAAUGAAUUGGAAGUAUCGCUGGAGCAGGCAACAGACUCUUUGGAUGAGUUGUGGCAACAAUUCCGAAAGGGGCUGAAUAAUCUCAUGAGCAUCGAUGAUGAUGUGAAGACAACAACGACGACAACGACAACAACGACGACGACGUCUAAGCCAACGGUUGCCUCAACUAGUAACUUGCUGCAAUUGAAGCCGGUUGCAAAGCAGACAACCACAACAAAGCCCGUGUCAUCAUCAACAUCAUCAUCAACCGUAAAGCCCUCGAGCACAUCGCUGCCAUAAACUGGGAAGAUCAACUUACUUUAUAACGUACCUCAAAUUCCGACACAUGUGUUUAUACUUGAGUAAAUUAUUUGGCUGCAACCAACAAAAAUGCGACUUAACACGCGCUUAAAUAUUUACCCAACUGUUCUCAUUCUCUCUGGGAAUAUUCAUCAUGAAAUUCUAAAACAGUUUAUUGCCAUUCACUCAAAAGGCAUCAUGAGCUCUUGCUUUAACUUGGCAUUAAUUUUGACAACAUUCUGCGUUUCCCAACUGCAGAUGUGUCUGUUGUAGGCAUCGAUCGCAUUGUGUUGCCCAAAGGUUUGCCUGGAUUUCGUUAUGCUUUGGUCGAUAGCGAGGAGCUGCAGCAGCUGCAAAGUAAACUAGAUGAAGCAGAGGUGAAAGUAGUGCUGAUGGAGCUGCUGCAGUUUAACAUGAUGCGGAUUAUGUUGGUCUUGGACAUCGUCAUUCUGAUUUGUCUUUACUUCUAUGCAAAGGGAAGUCACGAGGAGAAUUGUUAUUGCGAAGUCAAGGCCAACACAUUUGUUAAAAUAUAAAUAAACAUUUGGAGUUAUUAUCGCUGUGGAUUGGAGUAUUUUAAGUUUAAGUAAAUAAAAUAGUUUACGCUUAUGUUUUGAGCUGUUUUUCAGCUGUUCAAUUAAAUGUGAAAAUUUGUCAAAACUUAUUAUUAUUUAUAUACAAUUAUUACUAGACUAAGCGAUUUCAUUGUUUAAAUAAAAUUUAACUGUGCUUUGAACCUGUU